UGACGGUACCUGACUAAGAAGCCCCGGCUAACUACGUGCCAGCAGCCGCGGUAAUACGUAGGGGGCAAGCGUUAUCCGGAUUUACUGGGUGUAAAGGGAGCGUAGACGGUAUGGCAAGUCUGAUGUGAAAACCCGGGGCUCAACCCCGGGACUGCACUGGAAACUGUCGAACUAGAGUGUCGGAGAGGCAAGUGGAAUUCCUAGUGUAGCGGUGAAAUGCGUAGAUAUUAGGAGGAACACCAGUGGCGAAGGCGGCUUACUGGACGGUAACUGACGUUGAGGCUCGAAAGCGUGGGGAGCAAACAGGAUUAGAUACCCUG
rnacentral:rRNA from 1 species